rnacentral:rRNA from 1 species
UACGGAGGGUGCAAGCGUUAUCCGGAGUUACUGGGGUUAAAGGGUGCGCAGGCGGAUAUGUAAGUCAGUGGUGAAAUCUCCGGGCUUAACCCGGAAACUGCCGUUGAUACUAUAUAUCUUGAAUGCCGUGGAGGUAAGCGGAAUAUGUCAUGUAGCGGUGAAAUGCUUAGAUAUGACAUAGAACACCUAUUGCGAAAGCAGCUUACUACACGGAGAUUGACGCUCAUGCACGAAAGCGUGGGGAUCAAACAGG